GACAUAGGGGAUUUUUUAAGUUUUGCAUUCCCUCACAAAUCCUUUUGGAUUCCCGCGCAAUACAUUUUACAUUUCCUCCCUUGCAUUGAGAAAGCCGUUCAUUUUGGAGCAGCUCUGAAGAAAAGACAAACCCACGAAACAGCUCUCUAUUGGUCAAUAAACAGGAAAGAGAACAAUCCGUGUGCAGAUCRAUUGUGAAUGCCAGCGCUGUGGUCUUCUUCGGAGAGAGCCUCAUAAACCCUUUUCAAAAAACGUCAAACAACAUCCGUUUAACAUCCCAACAGCCACUAUCUAUACAUAAUCUAAACUGGACACAUUCCUCGCUGAUUGAUACCAGUUUGACUACGUAGAUCUAUCUUUUCAGAAGCUGUAAAUCUGUCCUAUUCUAGCCACCUUCUUUUGAUGGAAGACACCUAAAUAUCUCCAGAACAGGAGGAGUGAAACCUGGAGAGACGGUAUGAUGAAACACAAGAUGAAAAUAUGGCUACUGUUAAUUCUUGAUUUAGGUCAUCAGAACUGCAGGGAACUGAUAUUUGCUCACUAAACCUCCAUAUAACAGCUUUCUACUGAAAUUAUACUAUUGGACCAAACAACAUUGGGAGUCACUCCUGCAACAGUGUACAUUUAACAUUAUAACUUGCAUCUAAGUAUGACAGUUCUUCGGAUAGAUGAACUUUUUGAUAAAUGGGUUGGCAAUUAUGUAAGAUUAAUCUUGUGGAACUAUUUUAAAGUAUUCAAGGUGAUGUAGUUUUAUUUAUAAAGGACCUUUCAGCGAAAAGACCAUUCGAAAUGCUUAAGAAGGGUUAACAUCUUCUAGGCUAGGAGACAAAACAUUUCACGGAGGAACAACAUUCAACAAGCUUGCUGAAAGACUUGGUUAAAAUUUAAGAAGUAAACUUAAGUUGAAGCUUCUUUUACCUAUGGCAUAAAAUCUACCCAUCACAACUGAAAAUUAGAGACCAUGUAAAAUAGUCGAAUGUAGAACAAAACUGCAACACUUUAUUUAAUUCCAAAUUAUAUACCUGUUCAAUUUAAAUCGAUGGGAAUUACAUAAACUGUAUGCGAUCUAAUAGGAAACAAACUACUGACAGGUUAAAGUACAACUUUUAAAUCAAAAUUCUUACUUAGCCUUUAAUAAAUAAAUGGACAUAUUAUGAUAUUCUAGAUGAGUAGCAUAAUAUUAAAUUGAAGGUGAAUCGGGAGAUAAGAUUUUCUGAAAGUUAUGUUAUAAGAUGUACAGGAAAAAGGUUUUCAUCACGAGCAUUUGUAAACUAGUUUGAGAACUAUGAAUACUUGGCGGUUGUAGGAAAAAAUAAAUAUAAUAUCAUAAAAGCUUUAUAUAUAUAUAUAUAAACAUGAUAAAAUCAAAUAAUGUAAAUAGAUAAAAAAAAUAAAUAGUUGAUGGAUAUCUGAUUUGGACAAUUAAAUUGACAAUUUCCUUUUCCAUAGUGGGGUAGUCCUGGUCAUAGGGGGGUAUUUCACACUUUACACCUAGCCAUUACAUAAACACUGUGUGAUUCUGGUAGAUAUAAUUCAUGUACUAGUGUGAAUAGUUGAGCUUUGCAACGCUGGAUUGAACUAAAGGUUAUCCAGCAUAUCUGACCAGGCAGUGCUUCACAUAGACACAAACAAAUUAGAUGUUCUUAGAUCUUUUGAGUGAAGAUAGAGGUCUUCCAGAGGAGAAGGGGGUUUCUGAUUCUAUCGCUGUUCACCUUUGCUUCUUUCCUUGUUUUCUCUUGCACGAAAACCCUGAUCAAUAAAUUUAUAUAAUCUCAAACAUAACUCAAUCCCAUUUAAUGUAUAUUCCCAUCAGACCUAUGUUUCAGAACCUGCAAUCAGGUAGAGCAGAUUGCCCAGGAGAAUGGCUGAAUCUGAGUACUGGCUGAGUGAGUAGAAGCAACAAUAUCCUUUGAGUUGAGAAUUGAUCAUUCAUAAUUGUUAUAUCCUUCAUGAAAUGUUCCUUAAGGUUGUGAUUGUUACUGUGACGUUGUUUGGUAGUUAUUUUAUUGAUGUGUUUAUAUUUUUUGUUAUUUUGCGUCUCGGUGGGGUCGUGGUUCCUGGACAACCAUGUGGACUGUGAACAAGCRGACUGUGAUAACUGGGGGAACAGACACCAUUAGGAUGCAAAGGUGAUGUCAUUAUUAUGCAUCUACAUGGAUAAUUUGAUCCUGUAGUGACAUGUUCAGAUCGACCACAUUGGAUAUUGUGUGAACUGUUUUCUUUUUAUCAAAUUCCUUUAUUGUAUUGUCACAGGUUUUGUUUAAUUCAGAUUUACAAUGUUCUUUCACUGAGUGAUAGUGGGGUGGACUGUAGAAGAUGGUAAUAAUGACAUGGAUAUGUAUAUGGAAGGUCCUCAUGCGCAGGUCACAUGUGAGUUAUUAAUGGAACUUUAGAAUAAUGGACGCAUCAAGGAUUUCUCCUUCUGUGCAGUAAUGAAGACCUGUUAAUUGGAAUAUAUUGUACUAUAAGAUACUGCUCAGUUUUCCUGUCUCCUCAGGGCGACCCAGAGUGACUGGCAGUUCAGGGACCCUCUGUGUGUUGGACUCAGAGACUCAUGGACAUGGAGAAUGUGUUGGGGUCCUGAACCUGGACAGUGAGAAGGCAGAGUAAUAAAAUCAAAGAAACAUCAAACCAGUACAAGAAAUUGCUUCUGCGACCCGAGGACAGGAACUGUUCUACACAACACUACACUGCAUUGCUGCUGAGGAGUCAAGCCUUACUAUUACUUGGUUCAAACCAAGCCGAUUUGUCCUAUGAUGAUGUUGAGUAGAAAUCAUUGUAGGUACCAUGGUCAUUGAUUUCAUUGGUGCCUGAGGGUGGUUGCCGGGGAGGAACCAUAGGAUAAUUUUUUCCCUUGGAUAACAAGAUUGUCAGAGAGGGUUUUUUGAUCCUAUACCAAUGGAACCUAUGACCAUGGGAGAGCAAUGCAAUACAAAUUAACUAGAAAAUUAGUGUACUUAUUUUAGGGGAGAAUGUAGAAGAAUAUAAUUAUGUUAAUAGUUAAAAGUUAUGUUGAUUCACAUUAAGAUAUGUUUUUACUGAAUAGGGAUGUACUGUGUCGAAUGUACUGGGUCAAUCUGACCCAGUACAUUUUAAGUUGUUGUGCAAGAAGCUUCUGGCAAACGUCCUUCCUGCUUGCGUGCGAAGAAGUCGGGCCGAACUGGAAAAUAAUAUUUGUUUAGACUAACAAUUUGACUAAUGGUCCUCUGAGGGAGCAGAUUUAACUUCCACGAGGUCAGCCUCUGAAUUCUCGGAACUUCCAACACACACACAGUGUAAAACGGAGCCAGAAGCAAGAUUCAGAACGUCAUUGGUCAGAUGCUUUCCAAUACACAAUAGCAGACUGAAACGGUAUAAAUGCUCGAAGUCAGAAGCAAGAACCAAGACAUUUUGGAUUCUGAGACGAUGAAAAUGAGAUGAUGAAAAUGUAAUAUGUGAUUCCGCAGAUGUGCAUUAAAUGUCUUCCUGUUUGCCUGUGAGCCGAAGAGAAUGGAGUUUGUGUAUAGUCU